rnacentral:rRNA from 1 species
UGAAAUUGAACUCGCUGUGAAGAUGCAGUGUACCCGCGGCAAGACGGAAAGACCCCGUGAACCUUUACUAUAGCUUGACACUGAACAUUGAGCCUUGAUGUGUAGGAUAGGUGGGAGGCUUUGAAGUGUGGACGCCAGUCUGCAUGGAGCCGGCCUUGAAAUACCACCCUUUAAUGUUUGAUGUUCUAACGUGGACCCGUAAUCCGGGUUGCGGACAGUGUCUGGUGGGUAGUUUGACUGGGGCGGUCUCCUCCUAAAGAGUAACGGAGGAGCACGAAGGUUGGCUAAUCCUGGUCGGACAUCAGGAGGUUAGUGCAAUGGCAUAAGCCAGCUUGACUGCGAGCGUGACGGCGCGAGCAGGUGCGAAAGCAGGUCAUAGUGAUCCGGUGGUUCUGAAUGGAAGGGCCAUCGCUCAACGGAUAAAAGGUACUCCGGGGAUAACAGGCUGAUACCGCCCAAGAGUUCAUAUCGACGGCGGUGUUUGGCACCUCGAUGUCGGCUCAUCACAUCCUGGGGCUGAAGUAGGUCCCAAGGGUAUGGCUGUUCGCCAUUUAAAGUGGUACGCGAGCUGGGUUUAGAACGUCGUGAGACAGUUCGGUCCCUAUCUGCCGUGGGCGCUGGAGAACUGAGGGGGGCUGCUCCUAGUACGAGAGGACCGGAGUGGACGCAUCACUGGUGUUCGGGUUGUCAUGCCAAUGGCACUGCCCGGUAGCUAAAUGCGGAAGAGAUAAGUGCUGAAAGCAUCUAAGCACGAAACUUGCCCCGAGAUGAGUUCUCCCUGACCCUUUAAGGGUCCUGAAGGAACGUUGAAGACGACGACGUUGAUAGGCCGGGUGUGUAAGCGCAGCGAUGCGUUGAGCUAACCGGUACUAAUGAACCGUGAGGCUUAACCUU